UACGGAGGGGGCAAGCGUUGUUCGGAAUUACUGGGCGUAAAGGGCGCGUAGGCGGCGCGGAAAGUCGUCGGUGAAAGCUCGGGGCUCAACCCUGAGUCUGCCGGUGAUACUCCCGCGCUCGAGCUCACUAGAGGCAGAUGGAAUUCCGGGUGUAGCGGUGGAAUGCGUAGAGAUCCGGAAGAACACCGGUGGCGAAGGCGGUCUGCUGGGGUGAGGCUGACGCUGAUGCGCGACAGCGUGGGGAGCAAACAGG
rnacentral:rRNA from 1 species